UGGGGAAUUUUCCGCAAUGGGCGAAAGCCUGACGGAGCAAUGCCGCGUGGAGGUGGAAGGCCUACGGGUCGUCAACUUCUUUUUCUCGGAGAAGAAACAAUGACGGUAUCUGAGGAAUAAGCAUCGGCUAACUCUGUGUCAG
rnacentral:rRNA from 1 species